UACGAAGGGGGCUAGCGUUGCUCGGAAUCACUGGGCGUAAAGGGUGCGUAGGCGGGUUUUUAAGUCAGUGGUGAAAGCCCGGAGCUCAACUCCGGAACUGCCAUUGAAACUGUGAGACUUGAGGAUGAGAGAGGUGAGUGGAAUUCCCAGUGUAGAGGUGAAAUUCGUAGAUAUUGGGAAGAACACCGGUGGCGAAGGCGGCUCACUGGCUCAUAUCUGACGCUCAGGCGCGACAGCGUGGGGAUCAAACAGG
rnacentral:rRNA from 1 species